UACGUAGGGCGCAAGCGUUGUCCGGAAUUAUUGGGCGUAAAGAGCUCGUAGGCGGCUUGUCACGUCGGGUGUGAAAGCCCGGGGCUUAACCCCGGGUCUGCAUUCGAUACGGGCUAGCUAGAGUGUGGUAGGGGAGAUCGGAAUUCCUGGUGUAGCGGUGAAAUGCGCAGAUAUCAGGAGGAACACCGGUGGCGAAGGCGGAUCUCUGGGACGGUACUGACGCUGAGACGCGAAAGCGUGGGGAGCAAACAGG
rnacentral:rRNA from 1 species